ACAUGCGACAAUUGCCACAGUAGCGACUCAAAGUUGCCAUGGAAAUUGUAGCUAGGAGAGAUUUGGCACGGAGACUCUGAGAAGGCAUGCCGAGUGCGCGGCUGUGCGGAAUGUUGGUCGACGGGGAAGUGCCAAAAAAUCAGGCUGGCUUUUCUCCUGGAAGCCCGCCGCACACCACGUCGAAAGCGUUUAGUAUCAGCUCAUCGUGCGUCAUUAGAUCAUAGGAGGCUUAGCAGGACGCGGUUGGGAGGCGAAGCAACAGAGGCCGCAAGAGAAAUGAAUAUACUCUGUCUGCCAUGUCAGUCGUGGUGUCUGGAGGCGUGACGCUGCAGAUUGGGAAGAAAAUGUAGAACAAAGUGGGGCUUGAUGGUACAUUUCAGAGGCCAUCCACCACCACCAACACCACCACCAACCCCCACCCCACCCCCAAGCGGUAUGUCAAUAGGGAGUUGUGCUGCCCAGGCGCCUUGAGCAUCCUUCACUGUCUGCAUCACAGGCUCAUCACCAUGGCAAUCCGGCCCACUCGGGCCCUAAUUGAAGCAUUUCGUUGAAGACGUCUAAUCGUUUUGCGGGAACGAUCGAGUUGGAAAAACAAUGGUGCGGAAACGUUAAGGCAUAAACCCUCCUGACUCCGUCAUGUUUUUUCGAUCGAGCUACGGAUGUGCUCUCGUGACGCUUUGUUUGUUGCUAAGGAUGUUGUGUUGAGUUGAUCUGGGGGCGGUUAUUAGUGAGGAGUGGCCCUCUCUUCUGUCCCAGAGUCUCGACCAGCUCUUUGAGAGCUGCGCAAGACUUCCUGCUGGCUUGAAAGGCUCGAAAUAAUCUGUUUUUGCCAUGGAAACAGUUC